AAUUAUAUGACACAAUCACACUAUUAAAGUGAGUUGAAAGAAAAGUUAGGUUAGGUUAGGUCGGAGUAGACUUUUAAAGAGGCCAAUAAAUAAAUACAAAAUACGAGAUGUUUUAAGAAUGUUGUUGUCCCGCUACCAUCCUGCAAAAUGUCUCAAUUCCUGUUGAUUCAAGUACUUCUGGGACUCCAUAUGCACAGAAACAAGUAUAAAAAUGGAAAAUGAUUAGUUUUAGUCUUAUUUUAACUUCCAGUGACUGUAUUUCUUAUAAUUGAAUAGACAAUUAAAAUAUUUUAUAUCCAGUAA